GGCAGCCAGCUCCCCGCAGGUACCCGGGGAAAGGAGAGUGGAGGGCAAGGCAAGCGUCAGGUAGUUAACACCCCCAACAGGCUUUCCAGGGACAGACAGGCAGUAACACAGUGACAGGGGAGAGGUGUGGAUGCUCCAGUCACUUUCCAUCAGCACAGGAUAUCGCUUUCGAUCUUCCUCAUUCCUGUCGUGAUCCUUGUACCAAAAUGUCUUUUCUGCAACUUCAGAGCGUUGUGUAAUUUCUAAUUCAUAUCAGAGGCUGUCUUGAGGUUGGCCGCCCUGAGUUGCGUUUGUAAAGACUCCUUUCCCAGUGAAAGAAUGUGCGUUUUCCCAGCUUUGUCAACGUGGGAUGGAUACAGGUAUCUGGGUCACUUGCUUGCGCCAGUGGCCUAGGUGGGGAGGACAUUAAUAAACCCUGGCCUCAAAUGCAAAUCUUACCCAAGAAAAAUAAGAAUGGCCAUGAGAAUGAAAAAAGAUAGCCGCCUCCUCUCGCUCAUCCGCCGCUCGGUCUACAUCAGGUUCACGGAUCGUCUCCCCAACAGUGUUUUUGUUCUUUCUUCUCGUCCCCAGGUCGGAAGAUAUAAUUUACAGCCUCCAGAAGUCUCGCCGAGCCUGAUUGGAUGGUGUCCAGCUUUGCCGGAAUCAGGGAGGGAGAAGGGCAGCCCUGCCAAUGAGGGGCGAGACCGAUUAAAAGGGCCUCACCGGUGGAAUAUAAUCCCUCCUCUGUACUCACUGGUGACCAGCCACGGUUGUCUUUCAAAGGACACCACGGGUUAGCCCAAGAUGAAGACAAGACGGAGAGGCGGCUGGGCCCCAGGCGGGUGUGACAGCCCACGGGGGGACAGGAUGCAACCGUGACCGCCUACAUGCAGGACCCAUCAGCCCCGAGAGCCCUGAAACUCCCCAAGGGAGCGGAGUGCCAAAGGCCCCCAAACUGACCAAAGUCACCGGCCCUGGUCCUGCAUCCGGUGGGGACUUCCGGCGUCUUCCUCGCAGCCUCGGACAGCCUGUUGGCUUUGGAUGCACGCCUUGCUUUCCAGUGAGCAUCCCGCCCCUUUGCCGCCCCAACACAGUGUGCAUGAGGCAAGCGUGAGGCUUCUAAGUGAACCUGGGAGUCAGCAACAGGUAGGACCGAAUCGGCCCUUCACUCGGCGUAUGCGUGGCCAUCCAGAGACAACCCCCACCCCAGGACCCCUGCGGGAGGUGCCUGUGGGAGUAGACAGGGUCUGGAGUUGCUCUCAUUUUCCGAAAUGGUUGCUCCAUCCCUGAAGAACGAAAGAAUCCCGGGCAGUGGUCAAAUGGAAACAUAUCUCUUAGCGAGAUGUCUGAAAGGCAGGAACAAGGAGGGAGGGAUUUCACUUCUCUGAAGGCCUUCCUUCUUCCCUUCCUCGAAGCCCAGAUAUAGGUGGAUGCAUGCAGACUGACUUUUCUCUGCAAUUAAGCACGGCGGUGGCCAGGAAAACGGGAGCGUGGGGGUGGGGGCGGGGCACACCCAGCCUUCGGUCCUCACUGUUGUCCCUUGUUAAACGUGGGGUCUGCGAGAGCCGACUGCUCAGGUAAGGGCAGUGCAGAGAACAGGAUGCCCCAAGCAACCCAUAAAUAGCAGGGCGAAGACAAAGUGUUUAUUACCUGGCCUCGCGAAGCCCGUAUAAAUGCUCUCCCAGGGUGCGAGAGAGGGGAGCAUGUGUGAGCCGGCCCGCCUGCGUCCCGGGAACGGGAGUCCCAGACCCCGCUGUUCGCGCUUGGCUUGAUUCUAUGAAGGCGUCUAUUUGAUGGA
rnacentral:lncRNA from 1 species